rnacentral:rRNA from 1 species
UACGUAGGGGGCUAGCGUUGUCCGGAUUUAUUGGGCGUAAAGCGUGCGUAGGCGGCUGCGCAAGUCGGUUGUGAAACCCCGGGGCUCAACCCCGGAACUGCAUCCGAUACUGCGUGGCUAGAGGUAGGUAGGGGAGAUCGGAAUUCCUGGUGUAGCGGUGAAAUGCGCAGAUAUCAGGAGGAACACCGGUGGCGAAGGCGGAUCUCUGGGCCUUACCUGACGCUCAGGCACGAAAGCUAGGGGAGCGAACAGG